GGUGGAUUAGUGAAUGAUUGAUUCCUCCUCUGGAAUGUCACAUCUAUUUGCUCUUUUUCCAGUGGCAUUCUGAUAUGCAGGUGGAGCCCAUCUUCUGUCCCUGCUAGAACUGAGAUGUCCUAGGAAGGUGACUUGAGCCCAGAAAAUGUCCUCUACACCUACAUAGAAAGUGACAUGCAGUUCCUUGCUGCAGUGGGCAUUCCAAAAUUCUCUGUUAACUGAAGGCACAGAUGAAUGCAUUUGCAAAUGAAUGAAUGAUUGUUGUUCAAUCAGCAGUGGCUUUCAAACACUAAUGUAUACCAGUUUGGCCUUUUACAGAAGAAGAAACAUGUCAUCAGCUAUAACCAGGAGAAAGGAAAAAAAAUAGAGGAAGAAUUUUGCAGCCAAAAAGU
rnacentral:lncRNA from 12 species